rnacentral:rRNA from 1 species
GAUGAACGCUGGCGGCGUGCCUAAUACAUGCAAGUCGAGCGAACAGACGAGGAGCUUGCUCCUCUGACGUUAGCGGCGGACGGGUGAGUAACACGUGGAUAACCUACCUAUAAGACUGGGAUAACUUCGGGAAACCGGAGCUAAUACCGGAUAAUAUAUUGAACCGCAUGGUUCAAUAGUGAAAGACGGUUUUGCUGUCACUUAUAGAUGGAUCCGCGUCGCAUUAGCUAGUUGGUAAGGUAACGGCUUACCAAGGCAACGAUGCGUAGCCGACCUGAGAGGGUGAUCGGCCACACUGGAACUGAGACACGGUCCAGACUCCUACGGGAGGCAGCAGUAGGGAAUCUUCCGCAAUGGGCGAAAGCUUGACGGAGCAACGCCGCGUGAGUGAUGAAGGUCUUCGGAUCGUAAAACUCUGUUAUUAGGGAAGAACAAAUGUGUAAGUAACUAUGCACGUCUUGACGGUACCUAAUCAGAAAGCCACGGCUAACUACGUG